CCCUUUAGAUGUUCUGGGCUGCACGCGCGCUACACUGAUACGAUCAACGAGUACUGAAGACCUGGUCCGAAAGGAUUGGGUAAACUUUUGAAAUCGUAUCGUGCUGGGGAUCGAUAAUUGUAAUUAUUUAUCGUGAACGAGGAAUUCCUAGUAAGCGCAAGUCAACAGCUUGCGCUGAUUACGUCCCUGCCCUUUGUACACACCGCCCGUCGCUGCUACCGAUGUUUGGUCCGGUGAAAUCUUAGGACUCGCGACUUUCACUUGCUUUGCUUUCGGGUAGAGCGAGUUUGUUGUGGGGAAUUUGAGUAAACCUUGCUAAAUAGAGGAAGCAAAAGUCGUANCA
rnacentral:rRNA from 1 species